rnacentral:lncRNA from 1 species
UCCGUUGUAGAAAAAUGGGAGGAUUCGAACGAAUCUUGUCAUAAUAAGGCUUAGUAAUAAGCUUUCCCAUAGAACAUGUUUGACAUGCAAUUUCAUGGAUCAAACCUAAGCUUCGGGUUAGUGGAUGCUCGUGUGAAGUUUUGAGUAUACGGUGCAUCGCUAUUCGUCCAGGAUGUCCCAAAUGAUCAUGUCAAAGUGUAAUUUCGUGCGCGGUCCCUGUGGUAGGGCCGGCCACAUAGUGGCAUUCUAUGGGGCGUAUGGUCGUAGUAUAUAGACCACUCGGGUUACGCUCCAUCUUCUCUAGAAUACGCUUCUGGCCAUAUUCGUAGGAAGUUACGCACAAAAAUUCAACUCUGUUUUCUACGUGGGUUUCAGCAUGGUAUGUUUAAGUGAAAACUUCAGGUUUUCAAACAAGGCAUGUUUAUAAGAAACUUCGGGUUUCGAAGUAAUUAUGAACUUCAAGUUCAUAUAUUCCUGCAGGCAAACACAAAUAUAUAUGCAAACAAAUAUGCAACAAAUAUAUGCAAAAAUAUUGUAUAAUGAUAAUUGAAUGAAUGUUAUUUUGGUCCUCAGGGCCAAAUUAAAGUGUGGGUGAAAAUAUAAAAACCCAUAUU